GAAUUAUUGGGCAUAAAGAAUUUGUAGAUGGCUUUUUAAGUUAGCUAUCAAAUCCCAAGUCAACCCAUGUCAAGGUGUGAAAACUACCAAGUACGAAGGCGGGGGAUAGUAGGGGGCAGAGGGAAUUUUCGGUGCGGCUGUGAAAUGCAUAGAGAUCGGAAAGAACACCAAUGACAAAAAUACUCUGCUAGGCAGACACUGGCACUUGAGAAACUGAAGCUAGGGGAGCGAAUGUCAAUAUGUCAUUAGAUACCCAAUAGUCCUAGCUGUAGAAGAUGGUUAGUUAUCUUCUCCAACUAACCACU
rnacentral:ncRNA from 1 species